UACGAAGGGGGCUAGCGUUGCUCGGAAUCACUGGGCGUAAAGGGUGCGUAGGCGGGUCUUUAAGUCAGAGGUGAAAUCCUGGAGCUCAACUCCAGAACUGCCUUUGAUACUGAAGAUCUUGAGUUCGGGAGAGGUGAGUGGAACUGCGAGUGUAGAGGUGAAAUUCGUAGAUAUUCGGAAGAACACCAGUGGCGAAGGCGACUUACUGGACACAUAUUGACGCUGAGGUGCGAAAGCGUGGGGAGCAAACAGG
rnacentral:rRNA from 1 species